rnacentral:lncRNA from 1 species
ACUUCAAAACUCUCUUCCACAAUAUAUUCUUGAUUCCAAAGGCUGAAUCACACAGGGUUCUCAUUUUCAAGCAAGAUAGAUUGUUGCACUUGCAAGCAAUAGGAAAAAAAAAAAAAAACAGAAAAGGGGCUUGGGAGGUAUAAGGAACCUGUAGUAGAUCAAAAGUAUAAAAAUAAAUGCCCAGUUUACCACUAAUAAUGCUAUCUUUUCUGAACAUGCACUAAUAAUAGGAAAGCUAUAGAAGAUUGAAACAAUAUAUCUAACAAGUUUAAUUUGAGGAGCAUAUAUAGAAUCUUCUACCCCACAGUAAGGGAAUACCCAUUCAUCACAAAGAUAUGAGCAACAUUUUCAUAGGUCCAGUUAUCCAGUGUUAAAGGAGACAGGAAUAAUAUUUGAAGUCAUAUCUAAGCCUUUGUUUCCUAAAGAGCACCAAAUUGGAAAUAACAGAUGUCAAAAUUUCCUUGAACUCCAUGAGGAUACAUCAUAUUUGACUGUGAUAGCUAUGUAAUUAUCAACAGAGUUGCACCCUGGGAUACAGAAAAACCCAGCAGAAAUCCAACCUGCUCGCCAGAAUGCGUUGGCUCACAAAGAAGAGUCAUGGCACCAUUUUGGAAGACACUGUUGUUAAUACUGACAGACUGGAGGCAGGAGUCAGAGCCAGAAAUCCAGUCCAGGCACUCUGAAGUGGGACCCGAGCAUCUUAACUGCUACCUUGAAUGCUACUCUCUACAAUCAGAAAAUCUUGAAUCCUUUUGGUAAGUGAUAUAACUUCUACUUCAGUCUACUCCUAUUUUUAG